AGAGUUUGAUCAUGGCUCAGGAUGAACGCUAGCUGGAGGCUUAAUACAUGCAAGUCGAGCGGGAUUGGGUAGCAAUACCCAUGAGAGCGGCGCACGGGUGAGUAACGCGUACACGACCUACCUUUGACUGGGGGAUAGCCCUGGGAAACUGGGAUUAAUACCGCAUAUAAUUCUGAAUAAUAAAGGUUUGGAAUGAAAGUUCAGGCGGUCAGAGAUGGGUGUGCGUCUGAUUAGCUAGUUGGUGAGGUAACGGCUCACCAAGGCGAUGAUCAGUAGGGGGCGUGAGAGCGUGGACCCCCACACGGGUACUGAGACACGGACCCGACUCCUACGGGAGGCAGCAGUAAGGAAUAUUGGACAAUGGCCGCAAGGCUGAUCCAGCCAUCCAGCGUGCAGGAAGAAGGCCCUACGGGUUGUAAACUGCUUUUGUCAGGGAAUAAACCUGUGGAUUUACUCCGCAGCUGAAGGUACCUGAAGAAUAAGCACCGGCUAACUCCGUGCCAGCAGCCGCGGUAAUACGGAGGGUGCGAGCGUUAUCCGGAAUUACUGGGUUUAAAGGGUGCGUAGGCGGCUAUGUAAGUCAGGAGUGAAAGUUUGCGGCUCAACCGUAAAAUUGCUUUUGAUACUGCAUGGCUGGAAUCAGGAUGAGGUCAGCGGAAUGUGGCAUGUAGCGGUGAAAUGCAUAGAUAUGCCAUAGAACACCAAUUGCGAAGGCAGCUGGCUAGACCUGUAUUGACGCUGAGGCACGAAAGCGUGGGGAGCGAACAGGAUUAGAUACCCUAGUAGUCC
rnacentral:rRNA from 1 species